GAUAAUCCUGGUCUUUUGUUCGUCAUGAUGCAAGAGAGCUUAAAGGUAACUCCAUUUGCUAUGUUAUCACACUCGCAGCAGGAAUGAGAGGUACGACUUUGGUAAGGCCACAGUAACGAUUGUGUUUGCAUUUGGAUUUUAUAAAGAGAACGUAUUAGUUAAAUGAAUCAUGGAAAUAAGAAUAUUCUUGUUUGUACAUGUCAUUUGCAUGCAUGCAUGCCUACACAGAGACGGCUGCGAAUUUAGGCACCUGCAUGGCUGCAUACCCAUUGAAAUUCAUGCAUUCUGAAAGUCACCACCUUUUCUCAAGUACUCCCUGUAACUAGACUUCUUAUAGCUUCGUAUGCAAAGAUGUAAUGUUUCAUAAUAUUGUUGUUUUUUUCAAAGGUAAGGAAUUUUUGAACUUAUUGAUUACAGGGCCCAUGUAUUUCUGUACUGUUUUCUAUCAUUUUCUAUUCAUCCAGAAGUAUCAGAUCAAGCCAUAGCCCGUAGUUAUGGUUUUCUGCUCCACGAACACAACCACCAUCAAGUAGGGUGCAAACGAAAAGGGGUCCAAGAGAUCCACCAUCAGGCUUGAGAAGCAGGUACUAGGACGGAAUCAGAAGAGAUGCUGGGGUCUCUCAGAACUUUAAGAUUUCCAGUUAGGCCUGACCCGCUCAUAACGACAGGUAGAUUGGCUUUUGGCUGUUCCUUCUAUUCAUAUAUAUUUUUGGCAAAUGAGAAUUGAGUGCAAAUCGCGCCUUAUGGUGUGGAUAAUGCGGACAUCAGACUCUGAUUUACUCUUGAAAUAAAGUUUUUAAAAUUUGAAAAGAUUAAACGCUGAAAGAUAAAAUCCUUGUUUCAAUGAUAUCUUCUUGGUUGCAUCAAGCUACUGAAACGUCUGUUCAGAUGUAUUAACGUCGCCGUGUAGUCUCCGAGUGCUUAAAGCUUCUUUAUCAGGUUUAGAUCUUGCCUCAAGUUCCAGGUCCAUGAGGUGUAAAAAAAACCAGGUAUGACUUCUGCAAAUUAAUAUUUACGGUUUUGAUUACAUUUUUAAUUAAGAGCCUUAAUUUUUUUAUUUGACGAUGUCAUUGUGUCUGUUUUAGUUGGUGGUAGAUGUAAGAGAACAUUCGUGGAGGUUGUGGCAAAGAAGUUGUUUGCCUUUUUUACUAUUAAUGUCCCGAACCAUGUGGCUUAAAGUUUUAUGGGUUAUAGAUGGUGUAUGGCAUUUACAGUUGGUGGCAGCCCACGAUUGGGCAACAAAUUGAUAUCAGAGUGUGUGGAAUUAGUAUUUUUGGAGAAAAGUGAUGUGUAUCUCUUGAUAGGUCCUCUAUCCAUGCGUGUUUACCUUUAAACAUUUUUUUUGGUGGACUGGGUGUAAGAUACGUAAAUUUGGUCCAUGAGCAGGCAAUUAGAGGCAGUUAGAGUAUGGGGGUUGUUGGUUGGUUGGUCUCUUGAAGGAGUGCAGUGGUGCACCUAAAUGAGUUGAUGGACAAUACAAAAAGAGUAAAGUGUUGUCUUGGCUGGCCAAAAGUUGUGAACUUUUCUCUGAUGAUGAAAGAAAAUUUUCUGCGGCAGUUACCUUAUAAAAUGUUCUGGCCACAAUCUAGGGUCUCUAAAUUUCCCUUCUUUUGAGGAAAAAAAAUUACAUAAUUUGUGGUUUUAGAAUAAGAAUCUAGUACCAUCGGUAAACUUGGAGAUCCUUGGUUUGAAUCUCUCCUGUAGCACAUUUGAUUUCAGGCGAUUCUAGUCAUUUGUGGGUGACUGCUAGAAUCCAGAGUUUACUCUACAUGUAUGGGUCCAAUGUGUCUCAACCUUGGACAAGUUGCAAAGCUGUUCAAAAAGAAAAAUGUUAACUACUUUUUUCCAAUAUCAGCUUAUCUGAACGUUUCUAUUUAAUGACUGCUUGCAGUUUUACACUUUUACUUUUAGAGCCAUGCCGGUUUAAGGAGUGAAGGAUACCUUGAUAUUUUUGAGGUAGCUUGGCUUUUUAUAAUUGACCAAAAAUCGGUAUUUUCGUUCUGUAUCCCAAGGAAGAUGAAGGGAGGUUUAUGUUCAAUAUUAAAAGCAUUCUGACAACUUCUUGAUUUGGUGAUUCGAAGAGGUCACUUUGUGGAUGCCAAAGUGAAAGCAGAAUUGAUAUUCUCCCUUAUCAAAGAUACGAAAUGGGUGAAUGCUCUGCUAGAAUAUAUAGCCAAUUUUGUGGGACAUCAAUACUGAACCAUCAGAUUAAAAAAAUCAUUGGUGAAUGAUCUUAUUGUGGUAUUACUUGGGGAUGUCAAACAGUCGGUUCAGUCGGCUUUUAUUCCUUUUUUUGACAUAUAUUUAACAGACGGUUUGAUCG